UACGUAGGUCCCGAGCGUUGUCCGGAUUUAUUGGGCGUAAAGCGAGCGCAGGUGGAUUAUUAAGUCUGGUGUAAAAGGCAGUGGCUCAACCAUUGUAUGCAUUGGAAACUGGUAGACUUGAGUGCAGGAGAGGAGAGUGGAAUUCCAUGUGUAGCGGUGAAAUGCGUAGAUAUAUGGAGGAACACCGGUGGCGAAAGCGGCUCUCUGGCCUGUAACUGACACUGAGGCUCGAAAGCGUGGGGAGCAAACAGG
rnacentral:rRNA from 1 species